rnacentral:rRNA from 1 species
CCUACGGGUGGCAGCAGUGAGGAAUAUUGGUCAAUGGCCGCAGGGCUGAACCAGCCAAGUCGCGUGAGGGAUGACGGUCCUAUGGAUUGUAAACCUCUUUUGUCAGGGAGCAAAGGGCGCCACGUGUGGCGCUUUGCGAGUACCUGAAGAAAAAGCAUCGGCUAACUCCGUGCCAGCAGCCGCGGUAAUACGGAGGAUCCGAGCGUUAUCCGGAUUUAUUGGGUUUAAAGGGAGCGUAGAUGGGUUGUUAAGUCAGUUGUGAAAGUUUGCGGCUCAACCGUAAAAUUGCAAUUGAUACUGGCAGCCUUGAGUACAGUUGAGGUAGGCGGAAUUCGUGGUGUAGCGGUGAAAUGCUUAGAUAUCACGAAGAACUCCGAUUGCGAAGGCAGCUUACUAAACUGCCACUGACAUUGAUGCUCGAAAGUGUGGGUAUCAAACAGGAUUAGAUACCCCUGUAGUC